rnacentral:rRNA from 1 species
NUGGAUCUCAAAUCAGACAAGACGACCCGCUGAAUAU